rnacentral:piRNA from 1 species
UUGAAUGUGAUGUGCCCACCAAA